UUUAAAUAUAAAACUGCACCAACCAAUUCUGCAUGUUUUUUAUGAACAGUCGUUUCUUUAUUAGCUUUUCUAUAGGCUUGUAGACUGCAGUUUAUUCUGGUCAAGAUUCAUUUACUUAGAUGAGAUGAGACUGUCUUACUUGCAUGUAAAGUCAAGUGAUUAAUCAGCAGAAAAAUUUGACAAAUGUGGCAAAUAAAAGUAAAAAUUCUUGACAAAUAAGCAUUAUGCAUUUUUACUGUUUAAACACAUUUUCCCCACGUAAUAUGAAGCUGAUCAAACUUACAAAUGUUUUGAAAUACAAGAUUCUGAGACCUCUCAGUCUUAUUUUUCACUUUAAAGAAUUGUUCUUGAGCAUAUAGCCACACACUUGUUUCUUUGGGAUCUUCAGUGGUUUUGCCCUGUUAUGGUGGCAAACAUUUAAAAGAGAAAAGUCUAAAGGUGGAAUGGAGAAGAACAGACUCAGAGAAUCUGGUUCAUCUGUAUCAAGAUGGUGAGAGUCGAGCAGAGGCUCAGCAGCAGGAUUAUCAUGAUAGAGCUCAUUUGUUUACUGAUCAGAUUAAACAUGGAAACUUCUCCCUCCGUCUGGACAAUCUGACAGCUGAAGAUGAGGGACAAUACACAUGUACAAUCAGCAGAACUCAGUGUUUUCAGCCAAGACACAUUUGGUCCUGAGAUUACUAGAUCUAGUGUUUAAUCUUCAGAUGUUUCUCAUCUUCUGUCCAAAUAUUAUGAUGUUUGUUGCUUUUGUAGUCUGGGGUGUUUCUGAAGGAUCUCUGAAUGAGUUUUCUGUUGUGUUCAUUAUCUUCUGAGGCCUCUCAUGUUGCUCUGGGCAGCUCCAUAUGCUCAUGAGUUUACAGCAUUAGAUCAGUGAUUCUGCAUUAUAGUCAUAGAACACAAUAUGUUGUUUUCUCAGCUGUUUUUUAUUCAGGAACAAGGGAUGAAAUGACG